GAUGAACGCUAGCGGCAGGCUUAACACAUGCAAGUCGAGGGGGUAUGGUUCUUCGGAACCAGAGACCGGCGCACGGGUGCGUAACGCGUAUGCAAUCUACCUUUUACAGAGGGAUAGCCCAGAGAAAUUUGGAUUAAUACCUCAUAGCAUUGCAGAAUGGCAUCAUUCAGCAAUUAAAGUCACAACGGUAAAAGAUGAGCAUGCGUCCCAUUAGCUAGUUGGUAAGGUAACGGCUUACCAAGGCUACGAUGGGUAGGGGUCCUGAGAGGGAGAUCCCCCANACUGGUACUGAGACACGGACCAGACUCCGUACGGGAGGCAGCAGUGAGGAAUAUUGGACAAUGGGC
rnacentral:rRNA from 1 species